GCCCCAAACCAUGAUGCUGCCACCACCAUGCAUCACUGUGCAGGUGGGUGUGGCUGUGCAGGGGUUUGUCCCUCGUUCGGCGCAGCUGCUGUUCAUCAACCACCUGUAUAAGAACUUCCUGAUCCAGCCAGCCUGCGCCAGAUUGUUCUUCGUCCUCCCGUGUUGGAUACCUCGGACUCUGCACUGCCUUCUCACCCGCCUGCCACACCACAGCUGAAGACCAAUACCUCCUCAUGAAUCAUCCUCCCAGAACUGGGAUCGCCUUUUGUCAAAACUCUAUCUUUAAAUCCUUAUUUUCUUAUUUUUACUUCCGUUGUCUGAGCCUGUUUUUGA